rnacentral:misc_RNA from 1 species
GAUGAAGAACGCAGUGAAAUGCGAUAAGUAAUGUGAAUUGCAGAAUUCAGUGAAUCAUCGAAUCUUUGAACGCACCUUGCGCUCCUUGGCAUUCCGAGGAGCAUGCCUGUUUGAGUGUCAUUAAAUUCUCAAGACCUGUCUGCUUUUUUGAUAGGUAUUGGAUUUUGGGGGUUGCAGGCUGUUUCAAAUAAAUAGCCUUGCUCUCCUUGAAUGUAUUAGUGGAGAAAAGCCAUUGAACUCCAUUGGUGUGAUAAAACCUAUCAAUGCCAGGAGCAAUAUCACUACUUCUCUCUGCUGUCUAACUGUGACUGUCAGUAUUAAUUAGUAUGGAUGGGGACAACUUGACCAACUUGACCUCAAAUCAGGUAGGACUACCCGCUGAACUUAAGCAUAUCAAUAAGCGGAGGA